UACGUAGGGGGCAAGCGUUGUCCGGAUUUAUUGGGCGUAAAGAGCGUGUAGGCGGCCAGGUAGGUCUGCUGUGAAAACUCGAGGCUUAACCUCGAGAUGUCGGCGGAAACCAUCUGGCUAGAGUCCGGAAGAGGAGAAUGGAAUUCCCGGUGUAGCGGUGAAAUGCGCAGAUAUCGGGAAGAACACCCGUGGCGAAGGCGGUUACCUGGAGCUUUGCUGACGCUGAUGCGCGAAAGCGUGGGGAGCGAUCCGG
rnacentral:rRNA from 1 species